GUGUCCAUGUAAAAAGGGGGAAGUUUGGACAUAGAGACAGAAAUACCAGGAGAAUGCCACGUGAACAUGGAGACAGAGAUCGGGGCACUAGGUCUAUAAGCCAAGGACCAAUGAAGUCUGCAAGGAAACCAUCAAGAGCUAGGAAGAGACACGGAACAGAUUCUUCCUCACAAUGAACCAUCCACACCGACACACUGGUUUUAGACAUCCAGCCUCCAGAACUGUGACACAAUAUGAACAAUGCAUUUCUCUUAAGCCACCAAUUUGCGGUAUUAUAUUCCAGCAGCCCUCACAAACUAAGACGUGAGAGAGAACUUGCCAGUAUUUUAUAGGGUCUAAAAUUGAAGAAUUCUAUGAAAGACAAGUGUUCAGAAAAAAUUCUUGUAUUCAGUAGUUUGCAGUAUACCACCAGUCUUUCAAUGGAAAAUGCAAAACGGAUCCUCUACAAUGAUAUGCAAGGGAUGACAAACUUUUCCUGCAGGAACAGACAGUAAAUGUUUUAGGCUUUGUGGGCCACGUAAGCACUGUUGUGAGGUUUACAUGAGAAUCAGCACACACGACAGUGUGGCAGAAUGCAAGAGAACCGAUAGCAAACCACUUGUGAGACCAGCUUUAAGAAGCCUUGUAGCCUUCUGCUUUUGCCCUCUUGGAAUACUCUGCUGCCAUGGUAGGAAGCCCAAGGGAGAGUACGAAUGAAGAGACCCUGCUCGGAGACAGAGAGAGAUGCCCAGCUGGCAGGAAGCACCCUGGCCUCAGAUAUGUCAGCGCAGCCGUCUUAGACCCUUCUGCCCCGGGCCAGCUGCCAGCUAACCGCAGCUGUGUGAGUGGAUCCAGAUCACCUACUCUGGUGGAAAGCUAGCUGUCAUGUCAAGGGACAUUCAUGCAGCUUUCAGACAACUGCAAUCACAUGAGACUCUGAAUUGGAACCACCCAGCUAAAAUACUUCCAGAUUCCUACCCAUCAGAAACUGUGUUUAAUAAUAAAUAUCUAUGGUUUAA